rnacentral:rRNA from 1 species
UACGGAGGGUGCAAGCGUUGCUCGGAAUCACUGGGCGUAAAGCGGGCGCAGGCGGUCCAGCAAGUCGGGUGUGAAAGCCCGGGGCUCAACCCCGGAAUUGCAUUCGAAACUGCGGGACUUGAGUACGGGAGAGGGGAGCGGAAUUCCUGGUGUAGAGGUGAAAUUCGUAGAUAUCAGGAGGAACACCGGUGGCGAAAGCGGCUCCCUGGUCCGAUACUGACGCUCAUGCCCGAAAGCGCGGGUAGCAAACAGG